rnacentral:rRNA from 1 species
UCUAUACUGUGAAACUGCGAAUGGCUCAUUAAAUCAGUUAUCGUUUAUUUGAUAGUACCUUACUACUUGGAUAACCGUGGUAAUUCUAGAGCUAAUACAUGCUAAAAACCUCGACUUCGGAAGGGGUGUAUUUAUUAGAUAAAAAACCAAUGCCCUUCGGGGCUCCUUGGUGAUUCAUGAUAACUUAACGAAUCGCAUGGCCUUGUGCCGGCGAUGGUUCAUUCAAAUUUCUGCCCUAUCAACUUUCGAUGGUAGGAUAGUGGCCUACCAUGGUUUCAACGGGUAACGGGGAAUUAGGGUUCUAUUCCGGAGAGGGAGCCUGAGAAACGGCUACCACAUCCAAGGAAGGCAGCAGGCGCGCAAAUUACCCAAUCCCGACACGGGGAGGUAGUGACAAUAAAUACUGAUACGGAGCUCUUUUGGGUUUCGUAAUUGGAAUGAGUACAAUUUAAAUCCCUUAACGAGGAACAAUUGGAGGGCAAGUCUGGUGCCAGCAGCCGCGGUAAUUCCAGCUCCAAUAGCGUAUAUUAAAGUUGUUGCAGUUAAAAAGCUCGUAGUUGAACCUUGGGCCUGGCUGGCCGGUCCGCCUCACCGCGUGCACUGGUCCGGCCGGGCCUUUCCUUCUGGGGAGCCGCAUGCCCUUCACUGGGUGUGUCGGGGAACCAGGACUUUUACUUUGAAAAAAUUAGAGUGUUCAAAGCAUGCCUAUGCUCGAAUACAUUAGCAUGGAAUAAUAGAAUAGGACGUGUGGUUCUAUUUUGUUGGUUUCUAGGACCGCCGUAAUGAUUAAUAGGGAUAGUCGGGGGCAUCAGUAUUCAAUUGUCAGAGGUGAAAUUCUUGGAUUUAUUGAAGACUAACUACUGCGAAAGCAUUUGCCAAGGAUGUUUUCAUUAAUCAGUGAACGAAAGUUAGGGGAUCGAAGACGAUCAGAUACCGUCGUAGUCUUAACCAUAAACUAUGCCGACUAGGGAUCGGGCGAUGUUAUUAUUUUGACUCGCUCGGCACCUUACGAGAAAUCAAAGUU